CAGAGACAUUUAAAAUCCAGAGAUUAGUAGUCCUCAUUCAGCUGAUUUGGUUACAGAAAGCCCAAGAUGAAAUGCAGGAGGUGGCAGACAAAGAAUAAACUCAGGUCUGGUUUACCACAGUAAAGGUGCAGACCAUGUGUUUCUACAAGGAAAUCUAUUUUGGAAAUCUGGGAAGAUUCCCAUACAUUGAAAAUAUUGAUGCAUGUUUCUUAUGGAUGGUAUAUAGGAGAUUGUGCAAUGAGCUCAGUUGAAACACAUACAGAUUACAGAUAUAGAAAUGAUUUUGCAGUUAAUGUCAGCUUGAUCGCCAGGGUCUUGUAAUAAGGUGGACAGUUCAUAUAUCUGACAACAGUAGCACAACUGACUCAUUAGUCACAACAGUAUUCCUACUUAUUUAUUCUCCUCUCUCAAGUCUGGAGCACGUACAAAGGACACCAGAUCUUCUACCAAAAUCAGAUGCCACUUUCAAGUACUUUGUAACUGAACCAACAGAUAAUGCAGUCAGAUUCUCUCUCAUUCUAGAACAUGGAUCAAAAAUAAAAAGAGGGAAGAAAACAUCAUUCUGUGAAAAUAAAGUUCUUCGUAAUUCAGUUUAUCUGUAAUGUUCCUAUCAAAUGUAAGGCACCCAAUAUCACGUUAAAUAAAUUUAAAAUUGUUUAUAAUACA